rnacentral:lncRNA from 13 species
CAUUUACCAGUAAUCUUUUUUUUUUUUACCUUUACCAGUAGUCUUAUGGAUUUAAAUUACCAGCUGUGGUCACUUGCUUUCAGCUUGAAGAACUUUCUUUAGUAUUUCUUUUAAGACACCACCUUCUCAAGCUCAUCAAUAAAAACCUUCACCGCAGGACUGGCAACCUGUUUCUCUGGGACCCCUCUCUGCUGGAGAUAGCUCUUCUCUUUCUUUCACCUCUUAAACUUUCACUGCUGAUCUCACUCUCCGAUACAAUGACAUCCUCAUUAGAAAAAGACACACAGACAAAGGGAUGACCAUUUAAGACACAAUGAGAAGGCAACCCACUGCAAGCCAUGGAAGAAAGCAAACCUGCUGACACUUUGAUCUUGAGCUUGAAUCCUCCAGAAUGUGACAUCAGUGAAUGGGCUGGUCUGGAUGGCUUCACUCAUAUUUCUGGUGCUUUGACAAGGAUGAUUAGAAGACUGGACUUAGUUGGGGCUGAAUCCUUCUUCUUCAACUUGGUGGACUGAUGAAACAUGGACGAAACAGGAGGACAUUUGUUGAAUGUAAGAAGCCAGGCACAAAAAGAAAAUUACGGCAUUAUCUCAGAAUUACCUGGGACAUCUUCUACCUUGACAUUGGCUUGCCCAGAAUCCAGGAGCACAUACCGCUGAUCCCAUCAGUAGUUAUGGAAACAAUAUUAAU